CACAAUAGAAAUUAACCAAAGGAGAAAAAAGAUUCGGCCUCUAAGGCUCUAACCAAACCAGUCAAUCCAAAUUAUGGCUAUUACGAGGAUAUUUUCUGGUUCUUUUCUUGUUCUUUUCCUCCUGGCAAUCACCCGUAUCUCUGUUGUGGAAAUGACAGCGGUAAUCCAGAGGAGUACUGUUGUGGAAAGCAUGUCGCUGGAAGGAAAAGAAGCAUGUAACCCUAACGACUUGUACACAGACGUUCUCUGGGCUCCAACAUAAUAAAUGCACGGUAGCUAACAACAGUGUGCAUUGCGACUGUUGCUGCAAAAACAAUUUGCCGCCACCACCCCCUCCAUCGCCACCUUCACCGUCGCCACCCCGUCCAUCACCACCUCCACCAUCACCGUCACCGCCCCCUCCGUCGCCACCCCCUCCUUCACCACCUCCACCAUCACCAUCACCACCACCUCCAUGUCCAUCCCCAGAACCAUGCUCUAGCUGCGGAUGUUGCAACACGGACAUCGAUAUUCAGAUCUCUGUAAAACAAGGCGGCAAUGUCAAACUAUGAACACCGUCAUCAUCGUCUGUUGCUGAUCAUAGCCUCUGAUAUCAUUACUAUGUCUGCACUGUGUACUUGAUCAGAAUACUACUGGUCACACGUUUAUCUCUUUGCUAGCUAGCUACAACAAUAAGAUGAAGAAAAGUAUCAAUUAGACUCUAAAUAUGUAGCAACUACAGUAUUAAGUAAUUUUAGUUAAUUUGGAGUUUGAAACUCUGAAAAAAUUAA